UAGGGCGUAGUAUAGUUGGGCACACGAAGAGUUUUGGAUUCUUAGAUGAAGGUUCGAGUCCUUUUGCCCUAG
rnacentral:tRNA from 1 species